rnacentral:sRNA from 1 species
AAAUUUGAGACGGCUAAAACGCAGAACAGUGUGGAGUUUGGGGAAGAGAUGUGGCUAAAGACAGCGUAUUUGCUUCCUGAAUGAUGGUCCCACUCAGCCAUCCACCUAUACUUUCUACAAAGUCAAUUUAUACUGAUUCUUCAGAUCAGUUAAUCACCGGGUAAAAUAUUUGGAAUACCUUUUAAUGCACUGCCCCAUUCUGCUGUACCAGAAUAUGGACACAUUCCAAGCUUUCUUGUCGAUGCUUGCACAUCUUUAGAAGAACAUAUUCAUACUGAAGGGCUUUUUCGGAAAUCAGGAUCUGUUAUUCGCCUAAAAGCACUAAAGAAUAAACUGGAUCAUGGUGAAGGUUGCCUAUCUUCUGCACCUCCUUGUGAUAUUGCAGGACUUCUUAAGCAGUUUUUUAGGGAAUUGCCAGAGCCCAUUCUCCCAGCUGAUUUGCAUGAAGCGCUUUUGAAAGCUCAACAGUUAGGCACAGAGGAAAAGAAUAAAGCUACACUGUUGCUCUCCUGUCUUCUGGCUGACCACACAGUUCAUGUAUUAAGAUACUUCUUUAACUUUCUCAGGAAUGUUUCUCUUAGAUCCAGUGAGAAUAAGAUGGAUAGCAGCAAUCUUGCAGUAAUAUUUGCACCAAAUCUUCUUCAGACAAGUGAAGGACAUGAAAAGAUGUCUUCUAACACGGAAAAGAAGGGCAUGUACCAGAUUUUAUCCUGGAAAAGAUACCAGCCAUGUUGGGUAUUGAUGGUCUCUGUGCUACUCCAUCACUGGAAGGCUUUGAAGAAGGUGAAUAUGAAACUCCUGGUGAAUGUAAGAGAAAGAGAAGACAAAGUGUAGGAGAUUUUGUUAGUGGAGCACUAAAUAAAUUUAAAUCUAACAGAACACCUUCUAUUACACCUCAACAAGAAAGAAUUGUAGAGACGGGGUUUCACCACAUUGGCCAGGCUGGUCUUGAACUCCCAACAUCAGCUAAUCAACCUGCCUUGGUCUUCCAAAGUGCUGGGAUUACAG